rnacentral:rRNA from 1 species
ACCAGGUCAGGACACGGUAAGGAUUGACGGACUGAAGGCUCUUUCUCGAUUCCGUGGAAAGUGGUGCAUGGCCGUUUUUGGUUGGUGGAUCGAUCCGUCUGGUUAAUUCCGUUAACGAACGAGACCUCGGCACUCCGAAUAGCGCGGCGGACGUCGCGGCCUCCGGGCCGUCUUCCGCACGAGCUUCUUAGAGGGACCGUCCCCCGCCGGGGAAGGAGGUGCGAGGCAACGACAGGUCUGUGAUGCCCUUAGAUGUUCUGGGCCGCACGCGCAUUACACUGACGCGUCCAACGGGUGACUCCCGACCCGAAGGGGCCGGGGAAUCCGCAAGGCGCGUCGUGAUGGGGAUUGAACGUUGCAAUUGUUGUUCACGAACGAGGAAUUCCUAGUAGGCGCGGGUCAUCAACCCGCGCCGAUUACGUCCCUGCCCUUUGUACACACCGCCC